rnacentral:rRNA from 1 species
GAUGAACGCUGGCGGCGUGCCUAAUACAUGCAAGUCGAGCGAACAGAUAAGGAGCUUGCUCCUUUGAUGUUAGCGGCGGACGGGUGAGUAACACGUGGGUAACCUACCUAUAAGACUGGAAUAACUCCGGGAAACCGGGGCUAAUGCCGGAUAACAUUUAGAACCGCAUGGUUCUAAAGUGAAAGAUGGUUUUGCUAUCACUUAUAGAUGGACCCGCGCCGUAUUAGCUAGUUGGUAAGGUAACGGCUUACCAAGGCAACGAUACGUAGCCGACCUGAGAGGGUGAUCGGCCACACUGGAACUGAGACACGGUCCAGACUCCUACGGGAGGCAGCAGUAGGGAAUCUUCCGCAAUGGGCGAAAGCCUGACGGAGCAACGCCGCGUGAGUGAUGAAGGUCUUCGGAUCGUAAAACUCUGUUAUUAGGGAAGAACAAAUGUGUAAGUAACUGUGCACGUCUUGACGGUACCUAAUCAGAAAGCCACGGCUAACUACGUG